rnacentral:tRNA from 1 species
GCCUUCAUAGUUUAGUUGGUUAUAACACCCCACUAGUAUAUAAGAUUAAUGGGGAGGUCUGUCGUUCGAAUCGGCAUGAAGGCA